rnacentral:tRNA from 1 species
GUGCAUAUAUUAUAAUUUUAAUAUACUUGACUUGCAUUCAUGAGAUUAUUAUGUACA